rnacentral:rRNA from 1 species
UACGUAGGGUGCAAGCGUUAAUCGGAAUUACUGGGCGUAAAGCGUGCGCAGGCGGUUUUGUAAGUCUGUCGUGAAAUCCCCGGGCUCAACCUGGGAAUUGCGAUGGAGACUGCAAGGCUAGAAUCUGGCAGAGGGGGUAGAAUUCCACGUGUAGCAGUGAAAUGCGUAGAGAUGUGGAGGAACGACCGAUGGCGAAGGCAGCCCCCUGGGUCAAGAUUGACGCUCAUG